rnacentral:lncRNA from 1 species
GAUGUAGGUUGACACAGUUCGGACUAAUCGAUCAAACUUAUUGUCGCACUAACCUUUUAUGUCUGUUUGUGUUUUGACACAAAUUGGGUUAAAUAUAACCGGGCUAUACACAACUGCCAUACACGUGGGUAGGUCAGCUGUUGUUUUUUGCGUGUUGCUUUGAUUGACAACACUUGAUUUUGUCAGUUUGUGUAGACUUUUUCUUUUCUUUUAUAUUUUAUAUCACUUGUAUUACAUAUGAAACACAACCCCGUACUUUGAAUGUUUCGAAAACAUAAAGUUGGAUAAACAAUUAUAAAUCAAAUGAUGUUUUUUUUAAUAGAGUUUGUAAUUGUUAGAUACAUUUUGAUAUUC